rnacentral:rRNA from 1 species
GUGAGGAAUUUUCCGCAAUGGGCGAAAGCCUGACGGAGCAAUGCCGCGUGAAGGAUGAAGGCCUAUGGGUUGUAAACUUCUUUUCUCAGAAAAGAAUUAUGACGGUAUCUGAGGAAUAAGCAUCGGCUAACUCUGUGCCAGCAGCCGCGGUAAGACAGAGGAUGCAAGCGUUAUCCGGAAUGAUUGGGCGUAAAGCGUCUGUAGGUUGUUUAAAAAGUAUUCUGUCAAAGAUUAGGGCUUAACCCUAGAUAGGCAGAAUAAACUUUUAAGCUAGAGUUUGGUAGAGGCAGAGGGAAUUCCCGGUGGAGCGGUGAAAUGCGUAUAUAUCGGGAGGAACACCAAAGGCGAAGGCACUCUGCUGGGCCAAUACUAACACUGAGAGACGAAAGCGAGGGGAGCAAAUGGGAUUAGAAACCCGUGUAGUCC